UACGUAGGGAGCGAGCGUUGUCCGAAGUUACUGGGCGUAAAGCGCGCGUAGGCGGGCCAUUAAGUGAGAGGUGAAAUUCCAGGGCUCAACCCCGGAACUGCCUCUCAUACUGUUGGUCUUGAGUGAGGUAGAGAGAAGUGGAAUGGCUGGUGUAGCGGUGAAAUGCGUAGAUAUCAGUCGGAACACCGGUGGCGAAGGCGGCUUCUUGGGCCGUUACUGACGCUGAGGCGCGAAAGCCAGGGGAGCGAACGGG
rnacentral:rRNA from 1 species